rnacentral:misc_RNA from 1 species
GGAAGUAAAAGUCGUAAACAAGGUUUCCGUAGGUGAACCUGCGGAAGGAUCAUUAUCGUACAAAAUGUGAGGGGCAUGCGAGGGCUGUCGCUGACCCAAAAGUCGUGCACGCCCGAGUGUGUCCUCUUGCAUAAUAAUCCAUCUCACCCUUUGUGCAUCACCGCGUGGGCACCCUUCGGGAUCAUCUCGGAGGGGGGCUCGCGUUUUCACACAAACCCCCCUUUUAAAAGUGUAGAAUGACCACAUUUAUGCAAUCAAUACAACUUUCAACAACGGAUCUCUUGGCUCUC